GCCUGUGGCCAUACCGGAUCAAACGCCUCCGUCCCAUCCGAUCUCAGAAGAUAAACCAUCCUGGGUCUGGCUAGUACUUGGAUGGGUGACUGCCUGGGAAUCCCAGAUGCUGUAGGCA
rnacentral:rRNA from 1 species